CUAAGGAGUCUACGAAUGGGUUUCAGGAGUCUAUGAACCCCUGAAAUUAUGUAAUCCAAAUUUGAUGAGUACAUAUAUACUUUGCAAAGGGAAGGGGGCUCCAUAGUUUUCAUCAGAUCUUCAAAGCAAUCCUAUGACCACCAAAUGUAAGAAAUCAGUGGUUUACAUGGGUAAUCCAGAUAUUUCAGGUAAAAAACGCCUGCUUCGGAACAUGCUGCCUAGUAUCUGCCCUCACUAGAUACGGGGUGUCAGGGGCAGAGCUGACUAUUCUGUGAUGUGUAUUUUGUCACUAUGGGCAACCAGUUUAUGUAGCACAUAAUCGAAAGUGGAUUUCCUGACACAAAUGAUGCACUUUGCAGGCAACCGUUGAGGACUAAACAGAGAAGUUACUGAAUUAAUUUGGGGCAGAGUGAAGCACGGGUUUGGUGAGACCAUCCUGCCUUCUAGAAGGUGACUCUUUAUUCUCUCUCCAUUUGCAACAAGAUUCCAAGAACUGGGUCUAAAAGGAAAGUUUAGCUUCUGACUUCCACGUUUCAGGUGACCUGGGGCUUGGGAGAAGACCCAGAAAGAGCCGUGGGAGGCGCGGGGAGUGGGAAUUGCUUCUGCUUAUCUGCCCAGAUAUUAUGUCCUAUUAUGGUUGAGACUGAAAUCGCAUGUCAGCCACAUGUUUCAGAUUGAGGUGACUCCUCGCUGCCUUAAAGGUGGCAGCACCAACUCAGGGCUGCGGUCCCCAGGAUCCUGGCUGUAACUUGGGACCUCAGAAAUUCCCCCAAGUGGACUCAGCCCUCAUAUACAGCUCCAGCUUCGGAGGCAAAAAAGAAUUAAGGAGAACCUGAGCCAGUGUCCUGCUCUGCAGCCUGGAGGGGGCGUGAUGGCAGAGAGCGAAAGACAAGACGAUGAAUUCGGGACGCGUUAGUUUCCAUAAAAUUUGAUUUUGGAAUUUCCAUGGGAAUUCACACUCUGAACUGAAAGCAGCGUCUCUGGCCCGUUGACCUUGCAGGGGCUGAGGGAGCUGUAGGAAGGGGAGGGAGGCCGAAUAAAUG